rnacentral:rRNA from 1 species
GUCACGACGUUGUAAAACGACCACCAGGUUGAUUGCCUGACGUAGACGCUAUACUCUAAGAUUAACCCAUGCAUGUUUAUUGAAUAUAAAGAAAAGACGAACAGCUCAGUAACUCUUAUUUGAUUUGAUGUAUUAGGACUCUAACUAUGUUAAAUUAUAGGUAACAAUAAUACAAUAAGAAUAAGAUCUAUCAGUUAGUUGUUAAGGUAAUGGCUUAACAAGACUAUGACGGAUAACGGUAUUACUUUGUAAUAUUCCGGAGAAGGAGCCUGAGAGAUUGCUACUAAGUCUAAGGAUUGCAGCAGGGGCGAAACUUGACCUAUGAUAUUAUAUUGAGGCAGUUAUGAGUAGUAUUUUAUAAUUAUUGUAGUAUUGUAAGUACAUAUUACAAGAUAAAUCGGAGGGCAAAUCGAGUGCCAGCAGCCGCGGUAAUACUUGUUCCGAUAGUGUGUAUGAUGAUUGAUGCAGUUAAAAAGUCUGUAGUUUAUUUAUAAUAAGCAUUGUAAGGUAUACUGUAUGGUUAGGAGAGAGAUGAAAUGUGAUAACCCUAACUGGAUGAACAGAAGCGAAAGCUGUAUACUUAAAUGUAUUAUUAGAACAAGGACGUAAGCUAGAGGAUCGAAGAUGAUUAGAUACCAUUGUAGUUCUAGCAGUAAACUAUGUUGAAUCAUAGAUAUAUUUUGAUAUAUAUUUAUGUAGAGAAAUUAAGAUUAUAUUGACUCUGGGGAUAGUAUGAUCGCAAGAUUGAAAAUUAAAGAAAUUGACGGAAGAAUACCACAAGGAGUGGAUUGUGCGGCUUAAUUUGACUCAACGCGGGGUAAUUUACCAGGUAUAACAUGAUAUAAUAUUUUAUCAUGAUAGUGGUGCAUGGCCGUUUCCAAUGGAUGCUGUGAAGUAAUGAUUAAUUUCAACAAGAUGUGAGACCCUCAUAUAGACAGAUGUAGUGAUACAUAUGAAGGAGAGGAUUAAAACAGGUCCGUUAUGCCCUAAGAUAAUCUGGGUUGCACGCGCAAUACAAUAAUAUUUGAUAUUAUAAGGGAUAAUAUAAUGUAAGAUAUAUUUGAACAUGGAAUUGCUAGUAAAUUUUAUUUAAUAAGUAGAAUUGAAUGAGUCCCUGUUCUUUGUACACACCGCCCGUCGCUAUCUAAGAUGGUAUUAUCUAUGAACAAAUUUAUAAAGUGAAUAGAUAGUACUAGAUCUGAUAUA